GGAGAUGUUUUUUUCCGCUUUUUUGUUAUGAUUGAAUCAUUAUCAACCCUAUUGACUUCUUCAGAAUUGUUACUUUCAAUUGGUUGACUUGAAGAAAUUGAUGGAAUUGAUGAAGUUGUAG